CUCAGGGGUAGGUAUGCUUUAUUUACGAGUUUGACUGUUUUGGUUAGCAUUUGUAGUGCUGAUGUGUAAUGUGUUAUGUUAAUCUACUUAGGUAAAAAUUGUGUCACGUCCUUCCUGGGAAAGUCAACUGGGGCUCAGUGGAGAAGAUGCGGGAAUGUGUGAGAGGUGGCAGUGGCCCACAUGCUCAUUCUCCUUCUGAAAUGUAAUUUACUCUGGUUUUGGGUGAUAUCAGCACCCAGACAUCCAGAAUGCGGACAAGGCCAGCAGGAGAGGGAAGAGGAUGAUGAUGGCAAGAUGGACAUCCAGCCCCAUUCUGGGAGAUUUCAUUAUGGAUGUGGGUUGUAACAGGAACAGUAGCAUAUGAUGAAUGUCAGUCAUAAAUCAGGCUGUUUGAAGAUUGUCACUGUUGGCCUGGAGAGUCAGAUUAUUCUCACUGGGACUCCUGGAAAGUCUUUCUGUACUUCUGUAUCUACUGCUGAUCAAAUUAGAAGGAAGUAGUACAACGGAUGUAUAAAUAUAAUUCAGCCUCCCACCUCUACCUCCAAAUGGUUUAGCCACCUUGUGGACACUCAUCCUUCUGCAUCCUGCUCAAAGGCUGUGCACCCUUCCUUGGAACCUUUCUCUCUCUGGUCUCCCCAGCCCUGAGUACAUCCCCUCUCUACCAACCACAGAGUUAAAGUUACCUCUGCUUUUGUGAGGGUAAGA
rnacentral:lncRNA from 1 species